GCAGAAGAUAAAAGUAACAGCACAGCAAACACUACAUUCCAAGCGAAUGAAACACAGUCAACACCAAAUGGGACUUUGGGUGCUCCAUCUACUAAGGGACCCUCCUUGCCUCCAACAACUGCUCU